UACGUAGGGGGCAAGCGUUGUCCGGAAUCAUUGGGCGUAAAGCGCGUGUAGGCGGCUGGCUAAGUCCGCUCUGAAAGCCCGGGGCUCAACCCCGGGAGGCGGGUGGAUACUGGUCAGCUCGAGUCCGGAAGAGGAGUGUGGAAUUCCUGGUGUAGCGGUGAAAUGCGCAGAUAUCAGGAGGAACACCAAUGGCGAAGGCAGCACUCUGGGACGGUACUGACGCUGAGACGCGAAAGCGUGGGGAGCAAACGGG
rnacentral:rRNA from 1 species